rnacentral:rRNA from 1 species
GACGAACGCUGGCGGCGUGCUUAACACAUGCAAGUCGAACGGAAAGGCCCUGCUUGCAGGGUACUCGAGUGGAGAACGGGUGAGUAACACUUGGGUGAUCUGCCCUGCACUUCGGGAUAAGCCUGGGAAACUGGGUCUAAUACCGGAUAGGAGCCAAUUUUAGUGUGAUGGUUGGAAAGUUUUUUCGGUGUAGGAUGAGCUCGCGGCCUAUCAGCUUGUUGGUGGGGUAAUGGCCUACCAAGGCGGCGACGGGUAGCCGGCCUGAGAGGGUGGACGGCCACAUUGGAACUGAGAUACGGCCCAGACUCCUACGGGAGGCAGCAGUGGGGAAUAUUGCACAAUGGGCGCAAGCCUGAUGCAGCGACGCCGCGUGGGGGAUGACGGCCUUCGGGUUGUAAACUCCUUUCGCUAGGGACGAAGCUUUUUGUGACGGUACCUAGAUAAGAAGCACCGGCUAACUACGUG